CUUUGAGAGACUCAGGAAAGAGACUUCAGACGAGAACUCAUUCCUCCUCUCACUUGGUAUGGGACUGGCUUGGCCUGGAGACCCGGCGUGGCCCCACACGGUCACUAACACGGAAGACUACAAGACGUACAAGUAGGCAUCUGCGAGUCCGAAUCAAAGUGGGAGCCAGCAGAGCGAUGAGCCGUGGACAUUUUCCUGUGCCUGGCUUGCUGAGUGUCCUUGUCCCAACCACUCUCCCCCUCUGGACAUCUGUUGCCUCCCCGGCACCAUCCGUCAAACCUGCCUCCCCGGGGGCAGAAGGCGGCAGGCGAGAAAAGGUGUUUCGAAGCAGGGGGGCUCAGAAACUUCCACCAACUGACUUGGAAGGAGGACACGACAUUCCUGUCAGCAGCGUCGGACAAAGCUACAUGUCCCCGACACAGGCCCUCACCUUUGGUUCGCGGGUCGGCUCUUCUCACUUUCCAAAACAGUGAUGAGAUCAGCUGGGCUAGACCGAGAGCCCAACUGUUUUUCAUACUUUAAAAAAAAGUCUAGCAGGUUAAAAAAAGCUACAUAAACUGACAAAAGUACCAGUCCUUUUGCUGUUGAAAAAUUGGGAAACAAAUUAAAUACGGUUUCAUAAAUGUAGUUAAAUUGGAUGACAAAUUUUUCAUCA